CCGAAUGACAUAAACAAGAGAUCAGUCCAUCUGGAUGACGACAGAAAGCCCAAUGAGUUCUCAGUACGAGUCUGCACACGGAACGACACAGCAGUUCCACAUGGGAAUUCAUAAGGCAUGAAAUCACGGGAAAUUUUUAAUACCUAGCCUGAUACAUCAUGAGAAAGUUCGACAAUCUAUUUAAGAAGACAAAGGGACGGAGUGAGCAGACGGCAACACUCUCAGUGGGAUAAUACAUCCAGGAGUUGAGCAGCCCCAUUAGUGACCUACUCUGCAAGACCCUGGUAGAGGCCUUGCAACGAGCUGAUCA